GAAAAAGGAUAGUAUAUUCAUAAUGAUUAAUGUGGAUCAUCUUGAAACAGCAGCACGGCAGAAAAAGGAUAAUGUUCAUAAUGAUUAAUGUAGAUUAUUUUGAAACAGCAGCACGGCAGAAAAAGGGUAGUAUUCAUGAUUAAUGUAUAUCAUCAUGAAACACCAGCACGGCAAAAAAGGAUAGUGUUCAUAAUGAUUAAUGUAGAUCAUCUUGAAACAGCAGCAGGGCAAAAAAAGGAAAUGUUGAUAAUGGCUAAUGUAGAUCUUCUUGAAACAGCAGCAC